GAUGAACGCUGGCGGCGUGCUUAACACAUGCAAGUCGAACGAAGCACUUUAUUUGAUUUCCUUCGGGACUGAUUAUUUUGUGACUGAGUGGCGGACGGGUGAGUAACGCGUGGGUAACCUGCCUUGUACAGGGGGAUAACAGUUGGAAACGGCUGCUAAUACCGCAUAAGCGCACAGCAUCGCAUGAUGCAGUGUGAAAAACUCCAGUGGUAUAAGAUGGACCCGCGUUGGAUUAGCUAGUUGGUGAGGUAACGGCCCACCAAGGCGACGAUCCAUAGCCGACCUGAGAGGGUGACCGGCCACAUUGGGACUGAGACACGGCCCAAACUCCUACGGGAGGCAGCAGUGGGGAAUAUUGCACAAUGGGCGAAAGCCUGAUGCAGCGACGCCGCGUGAGCGAAGAAGUAUUUCGGUAUGUAAAGCUCUAUCAGCAGGGAAGAUAAUGACGGUACCUGACUAAGAAGCACCGGCUAAAUACGUGCCAGCAGCCGCGGUAAUACGUAUGGUGCAAGCGUUAUCCGGAUUUACUGGGUGUAAAGGGAGCGCAGGCGGUGCGGCAAGUCUGAUGUGAAAGCCCGGGGCUCAACCCCGGUACUGCAUUGGAAACUGUCGUACUAGAGUGUCGGAGGGGUAAGCGGAAUUCCUAGUGUAGCGGUGAAAUGCGUAGAUAUUAGGAGGAACACCAGUGGCGAAGGCGGCUUACUGGACGAUAACUGACGCUGAGGCUCGAAAGCGUGGGGAGCAAACAGGAUUAGAUACCCUGGUAGUCCACGCCGUAAAC
rnacentral:rRNA from 1 species